CUCAUUGUAUAUAUCUAUCUUAAUUAAAUAGGUGCAUACCACGCUAUACAAAUUCAUUUCUGAACCUUCAAAAAUCUUUGUUUUCAGGAAUAUCAACACCUACAUGAGUUAUUUAUAUGUAUGUACAUGAAUAAUUUAAAAACCUGAGAAGGAUGUUACAUCAACCUAAAAAACUAAUUGAACGCGUGAUAUUUGGAGUGUCUUCUCAACCUAAAUUAGAUAUUGUCCUCUGAUUAAAAUUUCCACUAGGACACACAUUUUCAUCGCCAUCUGGGACAUGUAUACAUAAUUUCAGAAGCAUCCCUAAAAACAUAAUUCUGCCGAAUGUAAACCUGGAUUUGAAGAAACCCGUCAUCUUUCCCGGUUUAUUAAAUAGUUACAAAUAGGUAUAUCAACCAUAUAUAAACAGCAGUCACGGCAGUACACGACAGCAAUGGGGGAACGGUGGAGGACGGGUCGAGGAAGUAUUCUGUGCUACUGCAUGUUACCUCUCCCAAUAUUAUUGAGAGAGGCAGAGUUCUGCCUGUUUGUACAAGUAAUAAAUAAAACCUCUCUAAGAAAAGUGCAACCAAGUCUCAUCUCGCCUCCCAAUUAUUACGCACACACCACAACGACGACGACGAUCGUCUCAUCUUCCUCAUCACCACCAUCAAUGCAGUCAACCCCCCAUAAACGGAACUUCACAAUAGGUACGUGGAUAUAUGUAGCAACUAUUUAUGGUAAAAUAUGCGUGGAGCCAUGGAGUGUAAAUUAUAAUUUAGCAAAUCAUAUUUAGUGCACGGCACAUUCUUAAAAAUAAUGCUACCAAAUGCUACCAAAUAAUCAAUAAUCUGUGUUGAGAAAACUAGGUAUGUUAAAUCCGGAGUAACGUUGGCUUAAUUACACGUAAAGUUUACUCACAUAGGAAAAUCAGGAGUGCGUUCCAUUUUCGCAUUGGUAACAUUAUUUUUAAGAGUGUGGUAAAAAUAUGAAAUGAGCGAUAUUUUGCACUAAUGAAUAUUUCGCUUCAUAACAUAUGUGCAUUCAAGAAUUGGGUGUUGGCUAUGAUUCAAAAUUCUGUAUGUUUCCACAACUUUUUUCAUAAUCGUUGGAACUCUUCAUAUUGUUUAAUUUGACAACAGAAUUAAUAAUCGAAAUGCUGCUCCAUAAUUCCAGCCAACUAUUGCAUUCGUUUGUUUAUAAGCUCAUGAACGUAUGAGCACGUUGGAAAUUUCGAAACGACUUAAAUCCGUGGUGUUCUAAGUCGCUAAGUCGCUGCAUAGAGCUUCUUCUAUAAGGCUCGCCAUUUAUGUCGUUAUGUUCUCCUAAAGCUUUAUUUUCUGGCUCCAAUUCUAAUUUCAGCAUUAAUGGUGAAAAUAAUUUACACACAUGCUGACAUUAACAAUCCAUUAGUCCUCACGUAGUUACAGGGCGUUAACAUUAGCAUAAUGCUUGAUUAUUCACGAUUGCCCAAACUAACAUAACACAUGGCAAAUUAGUGUCCUAACAAUAUUUUAAUUACCAAUUUUUAUUCUUCAGCGCGGUGUGAAGUGCAUGCAUUUUGGUCAGAGAUCUUGAAUCUAUUUUGAUUUAAGUUCCUCUAAUUUUGGAGUCAAGUGUUAGAUCCUGAGCGCAGUUAUGCAGAAUUAAACAGUUUUUUAAGUAAUCAGUCUUUGAUAUUGUGUACGAUGAGCACAUGAAAUGGAGUGUGACGAUCUCUCAGAACUAUGCGAAGUUUUUAAGGAACCAAGCAAACUAAAAAUGAAAAUAGCUACGGUUCUGUACAAUUCUUUAACCUUUAUGUAGUCUGUAUUAGUGAUUCAGUAAACAAAGGUACGUUUGUCUGAAAUUAAUCCCAAACUUUCAAGGUAGGGAUGUCGGACACCUAUACGAUGAGUAAUUGUUCCGAGGUCUGUCUUUGACACAUUGCCGAGGAGUAGAAGGUCACUACUUGUCGGGCCCCGAUUUCGAUCUUCUUUGGAUAUG